rnacentral:rRNA from 1 species
CGGCGGACGGGUGAGUAAUGCCUAGGAAUCUGCCUGGUAGUGGGGGACGAACGUUUCGAAAGGAACGCUAAUACCGCAUACGUCCUACGGGAGAAAGCAGGGACCUUCGGGCCUUGCGCUAUCAGAUGAGCCUAGGUCGGAUUAGCUAGUUGGUGAGGUAAUGGCUCACCAAGGCGACGAUCCGUAACUGGUCUGAGAGGAUGAUCAGUCACACUGGAACUGAGACACGGUCCAGACUCCUACGGGAGGCAGCAGUC